ACUGCUCAGUAACACGUGGCUAACCUGCCCUUGGGACAGAGACACCCCCGGGAAACUGGGGCUAAUCCCUGAUAGGUGAAGAACUCUGGAAUGAGUCUUCACCCAAAAGACGCCUAGGCCACGCUUCUAGGCGCCGCCCAAGGAUGGGGCCGCGACCGAUCAGGUUGUUGGUGAGGUAACGGCCUACCAAGCCUUUUACCGGUACGGGCCGUGGGAGCGGGAGCCCGGAGAUGGGCACUGAGACAAGGGCCCAGGUCCUACGGGGCGCAGCAGUCGCGCAAACUUUGCAAUACACGAAAGUGUGACAGGGCUAUCCCGAGUGCCGUCCGCUGAGGGUGGCUUUUACCCAGUCUAGAAAGCUGGGAGAAUAAGGAGAGGGCAAGUCUGGUGUCAGCCGCCGCGGUAAUACCAGCUCUCCGAGUGGUGUGGAUGUUUAUUGGGCCUAAAGCAUCCGUAGCUGGCUGAUCAAGUCCCCUGUUAAACCCAACGAAUCAAUCGUUGGAUUGCGGGGGAUACUGCUCGGCUAGGGGACGAGAGAGGCCGACGGUAUUUUCGGGGUAGGGGUGAAAUCCUAUAAUCCCGAGAAGACCACCAGUGGCGAAGGCUGUCGGCUAGAACGCGCCCAACGGUGAGGGAUGAAAGCUGGGGGAGCGAACCGGAUUAGAUACCCGGGUAGUCCCAGCUGUAAACGAUGCAGGCUAGGUGUUUGGGCGGCCACGCGCCGCUCUAGUGCCGCAGGGAAACUGUUAAGCCUGCCGCCUGGGGAGUACGGCCGCAAGGCUGAAACUUAAAGGAAUUGGCGUGGGAGCAC
rnacentral:rRNA from 1 species